rnacentral:rRNA from 1 species
UACGUAGGGGGCAAGCGUUGUCCGGAAUCAUUGGGCGUAAAGAGCGCGUAGGCGGCCCUGUAAGUCCGCUGUGAAAGUCAAGGGCUCAACCCUUGAAUGCCGGUGGAUACUGCAGGGCUAGAGUCCGGAAGAGGCGAGUGGAAUUCCUGGUGUAGCGGUGAAAUGCGUAGAUAUCAAGAGGAACACCUGCGGCGAAGGCGGGUUGCUGGGCCGACACUGACGCUGAAGCGCGAAAGCCAGGGGAGCGAACGGG